rnacentral:rRNA from 1 species
UACGUAGGGGGCGAGCGUUGUCCGGAAUCAUUGGGCGUAAAGAGCGUGUAGGCGGCUUGGCAAGUCUGACGUGAAAGCCCGCGGCUCAACCGCGGAUUGUCGUUGGAAACUGCCUCGCUAGAGUCCGGAAGAGGAGAGCGGAAUUCCUGGUGUAGCGGUGGAAUGCGCAGAUAUCAGGAAGAACACCCGUGGCGAAGGCAGCUCUCUGGGACGGUACUGACGCUGAGACGCGAAAGCGUGGGGAGCGAACAGG